ACAAGCGGUGGAGCAUGUGGUUAAUUCGAAGCAACGCGAAGAACCUUACCAGGUCUUGACAUCCCUGACAACCCGAGAGAUCGGGCGUUCCCCUUCGGGGGACAGGGUGACAGGUGGUGCAUGGUUGUCGUCAGCUCGUGUCGUGAGAUGUUGGGUUAAGUCCCGCAACGAGCGCAACCCUCGACCUUAGUUGCCAGCAUUCAGUUGGGCACUCUAAGGUGACUGCCGGCUAAAAGUCGGAGGAAGGUGGGGAUGACGUCAAGUCCUCAUGGCCCUUAUGGGUAGGGCUUCACACGUCAUACAAUGGUCGGUACAGAGGGUUGCCAAGCCGCGAGGUGGAGCCAAUCCCUUAAAGCCGAUCGUAGUCCGGAUCGUAGUCUGCAACUCGACUACGUGAAGUCGGAAUCGCUAGUAAUCGCAGAUCAGCAUGCUGCGGUGAAUACGUUCCCGGGCCUU
rnacentral:rRNA from 1 species